UAUGGCUGUCACGGAGCUGAGGGCUGACUUUAAGUGCAUUCUUGUAAUACUGAGGAAAAUGAGCACAUCUUACUAGACCUCAGAGAAUCCACUCGCACCAGCACUGCUAUGGAUACCAUAAUCAUAGGAAAAAACUUUACAGUUUGCAUGUAUUAAAAUCCAGCAUCUCCAUAUAAGAGAGAGAGAGAGGCUGAAGACUGCUCCGAUGCCCAGCAAGGGGCAGUGUGUGCCUGUCGGGAUCAUCUCACUGCCGCCAGUGCCGGUGCCUCCCACUGCUAUCAGCUCUGCCGGCAUGCCAAGGUGCAGACGGGACUUGCUGAGAGCUCUAAGUGCUGCCUGGCCCAGAGGGACGUGCCAGCGGGCAGAAUCGCCGUGCGGGGCCGCUGAUGGGACCUGACCCCGGGACAGCCCCGCUCAGCCCGUGCUGGAUGUGGGAGGGGGUGGGAGGAGGUGGGGGCUGCGGCCAGGGCUGGCUUCGACCCUCUCCUGGAGAAAGGCGAAGGAAACUUGGCCUCAGCCUUGCUCGUGUGCUAUUUUGGUUCAAGGUAAUAACAGGAACUGCGCUGUAAAUAAAAAUAGACAAGUGAAGAAUU